GUCACCUCCUAACUGUUGAAGGCUCUACCACCAUUUCACUCUAAGGAAAAGCGGAUAUGCAUAUGUGUUCAUUAAGAAUCUUGAUGUAUCAGUAGAUAACAAGACAUUGUAUGACACUUUUGCUGCCUUUGGAACUGUGCUAUCUAGUAAGGUAGCGGUUGAUGAGAAUGGUCAAUCAAAAGGGUAUGGAUUUGUGCACUUUGACAAUGACGA
rnacentral:sRNA from 1 species